GACAGAGGGUGCAAACGUUGUUCGGAAUUACUGGGCGUAAAGCGAGUGUAGGCGGUCUGACAAGUCGGGUGUGAAAGCCCUGGGCUCAACCCAGGAAGUGCACUCGAAACUGCCAGGCUAGAGUAUCGGAGAGGUUGGUGGAAUUCUCGGUGUAGAGGUGAAAUUCGUAGAUAUCGAGAGGAACACCGGUGGCGAAGGCGGCCAACUGGACGAAUACUGACGCUGAGACUCGAAAGCGUGGGGAGCGAACAGG
rnacentral:rRNA from 1 species